CCAUAGCUCAACUGGAUAGAGUGUCUGACUACGGAUCAGAAGGUUGAGGGUUCAAAUCCUUCUGGG
rnacentral:tRNA from 1 species